rnacentral:rRNA from 1 species
GACGAACGCUGGCGGCGUGCCUAAUACAUGCAAGUCGAGCGAAUUUAUGGGAGCUUGCUCCCGUAAGUUAGCGGCGGACGGGUGAGUAACACGUGGGCAACCUGCCUAUAAGACUGGGAUAACUUCGGGAAACCGGAGCUAAUACCGGAUAAUUCCUUUCCUCACAUGGGGGAAGGCUGAAAGAUGGUUUACGCUAUCACUUAUAGAUGGGCCCGCGGCGCAUUAGCUAGUUGGGAGGUAACGGCUCACCAAGGCAACGAUGCGUAGCCGACCUGAGAGGGUGAUCGGCCACACUGGGACUGAGACACGGCCCAGACUCCUACGGGAGGCAGCAGUAGGGAAUCUUCCGCAAUGGACGAAAGUCUGACGGAGCAACGCCGCGUGAGUGAU